ACGGGAGGCAGCAGUGGGGAAUAUUGCACAAUGGGGGAAACCCUGAUGCAGCAACGCCGCGUGAAGGAAGAAGGGUUUCGGCUCGUAAACUUCUAUCAAUAGGGACGAAGGAAGUGACUGUACCUAAAUAAGAAGCCCCGGCUAACUACGUGCCAGCAGCCGCGGUAAUACGUAGGGGGCAAGCGUUAUCCGGAAUUACUGGGUGUAAAGGGUGAGUAGGCGGCAUGGCAAGUAAGAUGUGAAAGCCCCGGGCUUAACUUGGGGAUUGCAUUUUAAACUGUUAAGCUAGAGUACAGGAGAGGUAAGCGGAAUUCCCAGUGUAGCGGUGAAAUGCGUAGAUAUUGGGAAGAACACCAGUGGCGAAGGCGGCUUACUGGACUGAAACUGACGCUGAGGCACGAAAGCGUGGGGAGCAAACAGGAUUAGAUACCCUGGUA
rnacentral:rRNA from 1 species